rnacentral:miRNA from 1 species
UGGCUCAGUGACUAAGAAGCA